CAUUAAUGGGCAUUUCUUGCAGUGAGAAUGGGAAACUGACAGUGACAGAUGACGAUGUUAUAGAAAAGAGCAAUCUCAGUCGCCAGUUUCUCUUCCGUGACUGGAACAUUGGGCAGCCCAAGUCCACGGUUGCUGCUACUGCUGCUAUGGCAAUUAAUCCUAAGCUUCAUGUUGAGGCCCUUCAGAACAGGGCAAGUCCUGAGACUGAAAAUGUGUUUAAUGAUGCCUUUUGGGAGAGCUUGGAUGCUGUUGUCAAUGCCUUGGACAAUGUUACUGCACGAAUGUACAUUGACUCCAGAUGUGUAUAUUUCCAGAAACCACUUCUUGAAUCGGGGACUCUGGGUGCUAAGUGCAAUACACAGAUGGUCAUUCCCCACCUAACAGAAAACUACGGGGCAUCCAGAGAUCCACCAGAAAAGCAGGCACCUAUGUGCACUGUGCAUUCAUUUCCUCAUAAUAUUGAUCACUGCCUAACGUGGGCAAGGUCUGAGUUUGAGGGUCUACUUGAGAAGACUCCCACUGAAGUAAAUGCGUUCCUGUCGAAUCCUAGUGGAUAUGCUACUGCUGCAAGAACUGCUGGUGAUGCACAGGCUAGGGAUCAACUUGAGCGAGUUAUUGAAUGCCUUGACAGAGACAAGUGCGAGACAUUCCAAGAUUGUAUUACCUGGGCUCGUCUUAAGUAAGUUCUGUCUAUCUCUUCUGCACAGCUGUAACUUAGCUGCAUUUAACUGCUUACAUUUAUUUCACAUGUUGCCAUGUGCGUGCAAGUUCUGAAAUGUUGAAAUAUUGCUGAAAAAGUGUGUUCAUAUUGAUCAUGCUGUCUAUUUCACAGUGCUUCUGUUGAAUUACAAAUCUAAUGUUUGUUGCUUCUUUUUUUUUUCUGUUGAUGGCUUAUAAAGGUUUGAGGAUUAUUUUGCCAACCGUGUGAAGCAGCUGACGUUCACCUUCCCUGAAGACGCGAUGACAAGCUCUGGUGCUCCUUUCUGGUCUGCUCCUAAGCGGUUCCCACGACCUCUGGAGUUCUCAUCUGCUGACCCAAGUCACCUCAACUUUUUGUUGGCUGCCUCAAUACUAAGGGCGGAGACAUUUGGAAUACCCAUACCUGAUUGGGCCAAAAACCCAAAGAAACUGGCUGAAGCUGUUGACAAGGUCAUUGUACCUGAUUUCCAACCAAGACAGGGGGUUAAGAUAGAGACAGAUGAGAAGGCUACUAGCCUAUCCUCUGCUUCUGUUGAUGAUGCUGCCGUCAUUGAAGAGCUUAUUGCAAAGUUGGAAUCA
rnacentral:lncRNA from 1 species